rnacentral:rRNA from 1 species
AGAGUUUGAUUCUGGCUCAGAUUGAACGCUGGCGGCAUGCCUAACACAUGCAAGUCGAACGGCAGCAUGAUUCUAGUUUACUAGAAUUGAUGGCGAGUGGCGGACGGGUGAGUAAAGCAUAGGAAUCUAGCGAUGAGAGGGGGAUAGCUGCGGGAAACUGCAGGUAAUACCACAUAAUAUCUAAGGAUCAAAAGUGGGGGACCUUCGGGCCUCACGCUUAUCGAUGAGCCUAUGUCGGAUUAGCUAGUUGGUGGGGUAAAGGCCUACCAAGGCGAAGAUCCGUAGCUGGUCUGAGAGGAUGGCCAGCCACACUGGGACUGAGACACGGCCCAGACUCCUACGGGAGGCAGCAGUGGGGAAUAUUGGACAAUGGGGGAAACCCUGAUCCAGCAAUGCCGCGUGAGUGAAGAAGGCCUUCGGGUUGUAAAGCUCUUUUGUGGGGGAGGAAAGGUUUUGUGCGAAUAACACGAGACGGUGACGUUACCCCAAGAAUAAGCACCGGCUAACUCUGUGCCAGCAGCCGCGGUAAUACAGAGGGUGCGAGCGUUAAUCGGAAUGACUGGGCGUAAAGGGUGCGUAGGUGGUUAAUUAAGUUAACUGUGAAAGCCCCGGGCUUAACCUGGGAAUGGCAGCUAAAACUGAAUAGCUAGAGUAGGCGAGAGGAGUGUGGAAUUUCCGGUGUAGCGGUGAAAUGCGUAGAGAUCGGAAGGAACACCAGUGGCGAAGGCGGCACUCUGGAACCAUACUGACACUGAGGCACGAAGGCGUGGGGAGCAAACAGGAUUAGAUACCCUGGUAGUCCACGCAGUAAACGAUGAGAACUGGAUGAGGGAUGGGUAAAACCGUCCCGUAUCGAAGCUAACGCGAUAAGUUCUCCGCCUGGGGAGUACGGCCGCAAGGUUAAAACUCAAAGAAAUUGACGGGGGCCCGCACAAGCGGUGGAGUAUGUGGUUUAAUUCGAUGCAACGCGAAGAACCUUACCUGGUCUUGACAUGUCAGAAAGCUCGCAGAGAUGUGAGUGUGCCUUCGGGAAUCUGAACACAGGUGCUGCAUGGCUGUCGUCAGCUCGUGUCGUGAGAUGUUGGGUUAAGUCCCGCAACGAGCGCAACCCUCAUUUUUAAUUGCCAUCAUUAAGUUGGGCACUUUAAAGAGACUGCCGGUGAUAAGCCGGAGGAAGGUGGGGAUGACGUCAAGUCCUCAUGGCCCUUAUGACCAGGGCUACACACGUACUACAAUGGAUGUGACAGAGGGAAGCGAAGCCGCGAGGUGAAGCUAAUCUA